CGUUGGUUUCGUAACCUAGCGAUUCGAUGAUUUGGAAAAUGAGAAAAACAAGCUCUUCUUCGAGUCUCGCGAAACGGCCGCGCCCCAUUAGGAUUCGAGGAAAAAACCUUUCCAUCCUACUUCGAUCGUCUGAGCGAACUUACGUCAUUUAUGGCGCUUUGUCUUCCUGCUCGAGGUAUCUCUGUCUCGGUCUCUCGUAAUUGAUUACAAAGUUUAGCAUAAUACUUCUACCUGGGAAAUUUAAUUAUACAUUCGCAUAUGGACGGCAUGAAAAUUACGCUCGCUUAAUAGAAUCCGCGGUCCAGGAACUGGCGUGCAGCAACGAGAAGACUGGAACGAAACGAGAGAGAUUCUUCUAAUUGUCGCGCAAUGCCACGAUAAGUAUCGCAGUAGCUAAUGAAAAAAUGCUUAUGCUUCUCCGUGGAAAGAUACGGCUCGGUCUAAAAUCAGAACAAGGUUGUGUAAGCGUAUGCAGAGAGUGCUAACAUUGAUAGGUAUUUUUGCAUUAUCGUGGACGCGUCGUUUGAUAAAAUUUUAAGGAGAUCCAUAGUGUCACUCUAGGUCGUUGUUUUACGAACUUUCGACGCAGAUGAAUCGAUCUUCGUUGUUUUCUACCUACGAGUACUUUCCAUCUACUAUAAUAAUACUCUGUAUCUACUACUGGUAUUAAAAUUCUCAUGGAAUUUCGAGUACAACGAUAACCCCGUCGCUUACGAUAUCGUGCGAGAGACGUGGUACGUCGAUGUUAUUGAUUUAUUAUUUACUUCGAGAUAAUACAUUUUUCUUGUUCGACGAUCAAUUUGUAGCAAUUAUUUAUCAAACAUUUUGCAAAAUAAAAUUAGUUGCACCUUACACGUGCAUUUACAUAUCAAAAGACAUGCGCGAUUUGUUCGAUGCAAUGCCUGAGCGAAUUGGAACGUAAGAACGCACGCAUGAAAUUGCUUCUUUCUAGAUAAAGUGGAAUGCCUGUUUUCUCAAACGUUCUAAUAAUAGCUAGCAGACAGGCAUGGCGGCGAUUCCGCGGAACUGUACGUCGAGACGCAGGCCGUACAAUCGCGUAUGAAAAGAACCGAGGUAUACACACGGCGGUUCGUGACGAAUCUUUCAACGUCGAGUUAGAGUUAACGACGGCUGAUAACAGUCCUUUUUCCAUGGACGUGCUCGGAUAAUAGCAGGAAGCCGUCGACUUUCCAAAGCGGAAAACGCAGAUCCGCGUGAGCGCGCGUUUACGUCCACGCGCGUACGCAUCGAGUCCUCUGUUUCGCUCGGAGCAAAGGAAAAAAAUAAACGUAUUCCUGAAUAGAACGGUAGCUUCGGGAAACAAUAGUUGACUGGUUGCGAGAGAAAACGAGGAAAAAAAUCGACGCGAACAGCAAAGAUGAUGCAAUCUCGGUAUCGAGUGCGAACUGUGUACAACGAGACUUGAAACGAGUCUUUCGUGAAAAAUAGCGAACCUGAUUGCAGAUAAAUGUUACUUCGCGGAAUUUUCAUCCUGAUAGUCAUCUUGUUAAUGUAUGAUUUGUUACGCGAUUGUACGUGAAUCUAGAACUGACACCGGCAAAUUAUGUGCGAAUGAUACACGGACCGUCUACGCGUAUACAAUCAGAUUACUAGAUUAACGUGAAAUCUCUGGGUGUACAAAAAGUACCUUACAUUCACCUCGUCGUUUGAAUCAACGAUCUGGCAAAAGUCGUGUAAACGACUUACGAGACAGGCUAUCUGGCUUAAAAGAAGAUAAAUGUACUUUCUUAUUUGAAAUUUCUAAUGUAACUAGAUGCGUGCGAGGGCUUUGGCUGCACUGUCGUCGUUGCGCGAAUCUAGCUUUAUUCGUUGCUUCCUAGACUUUAGAACGGAAAAGUUCCGACCGACGAUCAACAAAGACGGGCAGAAUAACAUCACGUAGAACAAAAAGUUUUCCAAGCUACUCGCCAGGAACGUUGAACAUAUCGGUCAUGGUGUUUUCACGUCUAUCCGGAAUAUUGUCGAUUACACCGAGAUAAAAAGGUGUUUGCUCAGCAUUUAAAAGUGUUGUAACACGAUCGACACGUGGAAAGCGUUAGCAGGCAGUGUAGUAGCGCGUCUAACGGUUGAGCGAGAUUUUGUAGAAUUUCUUCUGGCUUGGAUUCAGUGGAAUGGCGCCUCGCGUUAAUUGGUAAUUGUUCCGACCGAGGGUCGACCGCGAUACGAUAAACGAAUAACAACGAUAAACGUAUCGGCCGAUCUUUCGUUACCUUGACUGACACAUCGUUAAAUCCCACACGCACUUUUUUUUUGCCUUUUUUCUAGACGAUCCUGAUCUCUCAUCUAGUCGUCGAGCACGCCAGACGCGGCAUUGCAGUGGCAUUACAGAUCAUUAUGUAAUGUCAUAACGUUAUGUGAACGUUUUACAUUCGAUGCCUUGCACCACUGCGGUCUCAAGGUCUUUACAUUGUUGUUUGUACAACGAGUUAACACGUCGAUGCGAUCCAGGGACGUAUUUGCCGGAGAAAAUUGUACCUCUUCUCCCGUCGAUGCUUGUCAAAAUUCAUCGCGAUAGAUUCGUUCUCGUACCGUGAAUCUUUACAUCGGUUAAAUUAUCUUAGCACGUUAUACGAUUGAAGUUGACAAAAUUCAAACUAUUAUUCCAUAUCGCGUUAUCUUUCAUUAGUGUGGAAGAUCGUUUCACUAAAUAUCGUGGAUUAUUAAUUUAAUGAAUAAUCGACUGUUCGAAAUACUUUGAUUACCCCUGUCAGGUAUACGCCAGAUUUUCGGGUACUUUUAAACUCGAUACGCGUAAUAGUAAUAAUAAUCGUGUUCUAUUAUUGGCAGUGAUAAAAAGAUUGUUAUAUAGUUGGCUUAAUAAAUUCGUAAAAUGUUUCUACAGGUGUUCAAGUACAAGCACCUUCGUGAGACGCUAUAUCCAUAGUGGAAAAAUAAAAUCUAAUUAUUGCUAGGAAAUGUUUAUCGGUACGAUUUAGGGCAGUUAUCGUUAUCACCGAGCACAGCAAAAACAACUCUCGGAGAGUCUUAACACUUCUGUAAAGACGCAACCUUGAAAGGAAAUUUCUCGAAGCGAUUUUGCUCGACCUUAAACUCUUCCCUUCGCCCGAAUUCGUCGCAACCAGUUCGCAAGCACAUAAACGCGUCAAUGAAGUACGAAAGGCAAGAAACACUCUGUCAAGCAAUAAUUCCGCCGAGGUUAAAACUCUCCGUCUUCGGUAAACGGGAAACGUCGUAAACGUUAAUUAUACAAGCAGGUAUAAAUAAGGGUUAACGACGGAUCGACCGUUUCUGGAAUAAGCUCGUUUCGUCGCUACGCUCUGGAUAUAACCCGUUCACAAAAGAGAAUUUUCUCAGCACCGAAUGCCACUCUCGAAAGUGCUCUUCCUUAUUGUCAUUUGCAGCUCCGUAAAUUAUUUUCGAAUGUUUUGCUAACCUCUGCCACGCCGUCAGAUCUUUUAAACACCAAAACGUCAAGAGAGCUUCAAUCGCAUUCGACUCUUGUACCUUGAUUUGCCAGCAAAAUAUAUCAUCGUUAGAUCUUCAAUUUGCAUUGUCGGCUCUGAAUAACGAAUUACAAAUAUAAAUGAUAUAAGAACGAUCUACGUGCAUAUGGGCCAUACAUCGACCGUUUCUUAUUCGAUAAUUUAUUCUUUACAAUUAAGACGCACGGAAGCAGGGUAAAAUCUCAAAGUUUAAUCGAUUAAUUAUUUAUUUAUUUAUUCGUGGGCGAAGACCCCUUGAUAUCAGGUUUGUGACAAAGUAAAAAAAGGAUUAGCAGCAAAUAACAAUAAAUCAACAGUAAUUGCACGAUUGCGUAAAUGAGUUAUAAUAAAGAUUCCGAAGGUAGAUAAGCAUCUACGAAACAAAAUCAAUUUUUUAUUAAAUCGGUUACAGAUAAUGGACCCUUUCUGCUUUUCGCUGUGAAGUAACGUAGAAAAGGUCGUUGUUUUCGAGAGCUUCUCUCUUGCAGAAAAGGAAUAUUAUAUAAUUGUGUAAUACAGUUUAUUCAAAUAAACUAGAUUCUUUAAAUAUAUAUAUACAUAUAUAUAUAUAUAUGUAAUGUAUGUAAUCGCUUCCUCAUCGGUGCACCAUUUUUUUCCUUCCAACAAAGAUAAAUAUCUAGAUUUAUGAUUCAAGUUGAUAAUUAUUUCCGAGAAACAAUUCCAUAUGAUACGAAAAUGAUCACAGCGAGCUGAAUCAGAACAAGAGAACCGAUUCGACGUUUAGUUGCACAACACCGUGUAUCUAAUCGAUGUCAAAAGCAAUAAUUUUAUAGAAUUUGCUAAAUAUCACGUUAUCUUAUUACAGAUAGCUAGAUCAUUACACGAUUACGUAAAGUUUCAUCGCGUCUGGCAUUUUCUCCCCGUGCUUGUCGAAGAAACAAAGAUAUUCGAUACGUUUCGACGAUAACGAAAGAAUUAUGUCCAUUUUUCUGUAUAUCGUAAAUACCAAAGGCUGAUCGCGCCACAGUAUCGACGUUACUUGGUCGGUAUUUUAAUAAACUGAUUCGCAAAGACGAACGUUGAGCGGAAUCGAGCUGAAUCUUGCGUCGAGCGUAUCUCGACUCUUUUCGAAGCGUAUUGCUCGCAUUGCCUAACGAUCUUGAGGAAAGGGAGCAAAGAAGGGAGCGAAGAAGGAAACGAGAGCCUCGUUUCAGGAUGCUUUCAUUCACGCGGUCGCAGCCUUUACAAUCCUUCGUUUCCGUGCGUGGGAAGGGUUCCAUCGUGCAUGCAGCUGGGUGAGGGUAGAAACUAAAGAGCGCCGACGAAGAAAAGGACGUGACAUUGAAACACAUUGCUGGGAUAAGCGCCGAAGAAAGUGGAAAUGUAGGAGAAAUAGGAGACAAACAUUGUCAUCGAACAAUCAUCUUUGUUAAUUUUUUGCUAUAUUUAGCUGUUUUUGGCGAAAGAACGUUAAUGUAUAUUAUUCAAUUAUAAUCUUUACGACAAACGAUUUCUAUUUAAUGUUUCAGGUAUCGCGAAAUAUAGGUUUUGAAAUUAU